UACGAAGGGUGCAAGCGUUACUCGGAAUUACUGGGCGUAAAGCGUGCGCAGGCGGCUUCUCAAGUCAGGGGUGAAAGCCCAGAGCUCAACUCUGGAAUUGCCUUUGAGACUGAGUGGCUUGAGUACGAGAGAGGUGAGUGGAAUUCCCAGUGUAGAGGUGAAAUUCGUAGAUAUUGGGAAGAACACCGGUGGCGAAGGCGGCUCACUGGACCACAACUGACGCUGAGGCACGAAAGCUAGGGGAGCAAACAGG
rnacentral:rRNA from 1 species